rnacentral:rRNA from 1 species
UACAGAGGGUGCAAGCGUUGUUCGGAAUCACUGGGCGUAAAGGGUGCGUAGGCGGGUCUUCAAGUCAGGGGUGAAAUCCUGGAGCUCAACUCCAGAACUGCCUUUGAUACUGAAGAUCUUGAGUUCGGGAGAGGUGAGUGGAACUGCGAGUGUAGAGGUGAAAUUCGUAGAUAUUCGCAAGAACACCAGUGGCGAAGGCGGCUCACUGGCCCGGUACUGACGCUGAGGCACGAAAGCGUGGGGAGCAACAGG